rnacentral:lncRNA from 1 species
ACAGUGUGAAGGUGGAAAUGGCACUUUAACCGAGUCCAAUUUGAAGAAGAUCAUCCGUAAGAGUCGACGCUGCGGAGUGAUGUUGGAAGUUGAUGAGGUGAAGAAAUUCGCUGAGUUCGCGAAUAAAUGAGCACAGACAGGUGGUGUGGUAGGGGUGGUAGACACGUUUUGGCAAUUUUUUGGGUUGGAUGUCUAUUAGUUCGCAAUGUUUUGAGUCUGUAGUUGGAAUGUACGAGGG